AUGGGACAAGGGAGACGAAUCCUUCCUGAUGCCGCUAGGCUUCCUUUUACACCUCUCAGUGUAGGUGUCCAUAAUAGCUGGAAAAUAGUAAUGGACUCUUUUACAACUGGCUGCAGGGCCCUUCUGUUUGAAGUGGAUGGGUUCACACCAGACAGUAAUGCAGGAGGUCAGGAUACACAUGCAGGGAUGCUGGUAAUGAGGGAUUCUGUGAAGCAGAUGAGGAUUUGGGCAAGUGGUGGCUGGAAAGAGACAGCCGAGUGCACGAAGUGGAGAAAAAUGGGGAAAACAACAGGCAUGGAGCUAGUUAGUCGAGACCCUUGGUGAUUUGUUGAGUCUAAAGGCCCCACAGCUGCAGGUGUGUCACUCUAAAGGAGGGUCAACCGGGUGUAACUCACACGGCUAGAGAGGCUUAUCUUAAUUCUGAAGGCAAGAAAAUCUAAGAUCCCAUUCACGCAUAGUCCCUCUAAUCAAUGUGGACAGGUAAUUCAGAUGAGAGCAGGAGAGAGCUUACUGCUUUCAGCUCAGUGCUGCUGCAUGGCAACUGCAAGACACACACAUACAUCUAUACCCGCAGCAAUUUAAUCAAACGCACUUAGAGCAGGCAAUAACAACAGGUAUUAUGUAACAUAAUCAUCCACAUGAGCCAGGGCUGAGAUUACUAAUAACAUGAAGUGAUGAGCAGAACUGUGUUUAAAUACCCCUAUAUUCACUCCCUAAUUGUUCUAACCUGCCCGAGAUCUUCGCAGAGAAACCCCUGUGAAAACAUACCCACAGCUCUUUGGCAUGUAGUGCGGGAAACCGAGAAUGACUCAAAAGAACUGAAAGCAUUUGGGGAGGAUUCGUAAAUGAAUCCCUCCAAAAGAAAAGACAACAAGCGUAUUUGUUUCUGACUUGUGGCGCAUGCAGUGGAAUUCCAUUAGAUGAGUCAUAUGCAUACAGUAUCUCUCCAUUACGGUCAUCAAUUGUGGAAUGAGCAGGUGGUUUACUGUAGUGUGUAACGCAGCAUGCAGGCCAGAGUCUGGGGUUUUUCACCUGCUGCUGGCUGCUCUCCAGCCUCUGCUGAGACUCAGUGCUCUAGUUCCCUGAUCGUCUGCUGCAGAAAACACACCACACCAGUCCUGAUGGGGCUAGUUCUCACAUUGUUUACUCCAGCAUCUAUGUUAUAUCAUAGCGAUGUAUUUAUUUUUUAAUAUAAAUUUUAAUUCUAUAUCUGCACAUACUUUUUAGUCUUAGCUAAAAAAAAAAGAAAAAAAAAAGGUACUUUUGAACGCUUUCAUUGCUAUUGUCCCGGAAAAGAGGCAGGCAUAGUUCAUUGAACACAAGUUCAUCUUUUGUGAGAUAUUGGAGCAUGUUGUCAUACUACAUGGGGCAAGUUGUCACAUUAAACAGCCUAUAAUAAUAUUUCAGACAAAUUUCAAACGUUAAACAAUUAUGAAACACAAAACAAUUCAAGCAAAAAUAGUGAACAUACAAAAAUACUACAAAAGCCAAAAAAGGGAGAGAAAAAAAAACAACCACUUAAGCUUUCUGAAAAAAAAAACAUAAAUUAAGUAAAUAAUCUAUUUAAUAUUACAAAAAAUAUAUAUAUAUAUAUUUAAUAUAAAUGCUGCUCUUCUGAACUUUCUAUUCAUCAAAGAGACCUGAAAAUUCUACUUCUAAAUUCUAGCCAUUUUCAACAACAACAACAACAACAACAACAACAACAACAAUAAUAAUAAUAAUAAUAAUAAUAAUAAAUGUUUUUGAGCAGCAAAUCA
ensembl:lncRNA